AGCUGCACAUACGGGGGUUGGCUGAGUCAUUUGAGCAAAGUUUAAGAGACGAAAUUAGAGAAAGAGAGAACAAACAAGAAGAAGAAGUUGGGAGUUAGGACCGAUGAAGUCUGCUACAUUGCGGCCAUUGGUGAAUCUACCAGUAGGACCAUCAGGGAAAUCAAUUCCAUAAGGUGGAUAAUUAGCCUUUGCAGCAGUGAGGAGAUUAUUGUUAUUUCCAUUAUCAAAUGUAGAGUCUCCCAUAAUGAACAAACAAGGCACCUUUUGUUCACCUUUUACCAACACUGGUUUUAAAUUCAUAAAAACUAUCAAUGUAAUCAUCGUUACAUCCCAUAAUAUAAUGAUGCAAGUACUAGCCAUUAAAGGAAAAUGAUAAAAUGUAAUUAUCCAAAUGAAGUAAGCAAAGUUUAGAAGGAAAGGAAUGUUAAAAUCAAAAUUAUGGGGAAACUAUAUACUAAUUACCAUAGGAGGAUGAGACAUUGAAAAAUAAAUUCCUUCUACCCAAAAAAAAUCAGAAGAGAAAAACUGUAUGCCAAAUUGUGGUUCAGAAAGAACCAAGUCUGAGUAGAUGAUAUUAUUUCUGGCAGCUUCAUGUGGGCCGCAUGUAUACCAGCACGUGGAAAUCGUUUUCACUUUUUUGAAGGAUUUGAAUAGCAUCAAAUAGAAAAUUCAAUUUAUAUUCAUAGUCAAACGCAACUUCAAUUUUCAAAUGGCGAAAUGCCUCCGUAGUAGGUUAUUCCAAUUUGGAGAAAGUUCAUUUAACAACUUUAGAAUACUAAGUAAUAUUUACAACCUAUUGAGAUAAUUAAUUACAGAUAUUGAGCUUUAUCGUAUUUGGUAAAUUGAUUUUCUGACCAACACGGAGCUGGCCGGUCUGAAAAAUAACUGGUAUAAGAAUGUAGAAGAAAGCAAGAAGAAGUUGAAGGCUAUGUUGCUAAGAGAGUGUCGGAUUCUCCAAAAAUAAUACUCACUCCAUUCCACAAUAAGUUAAUUGUUGGAUUUUGACACAUAUAUUAAGAAAAAAAAAGUAAAGACAUAAAUUUAUCAUGUUUUUUCAUUUUUAUCCUCUUCAAAUUUCAAAACUUCCAAUGCACAUUUAAUGAAGGGUGAAUUUGGAAAAAAAAAAAUUCUAACAUCUACCUUGAUUUGUGAACCAUUUACUUAUUUGAACACUAAAAAAUACUUCAACAAUCCAAUUAUCGUAAAAUUGAGGGAGUACUAUAUAUAUAUAUAUAUAUAUUUCUUAGAGAAUCAGACAUGACCACGAGUGCGGCAUCGAAAGUCGGAACAACUUUGGUUGAAGGCAGUCAAGUUGGAGGAUAAUGAUAGGGAACAGUGGUUGUACUUGUGUUGAAAAGUCACAUACAUUUUGUUUUGAGUGAUGUUUUCAGACCCCAUUUGUAAUUGUGGAGACUUGUGUUGUUGAACUCAUGAGAGUUUAGUUGACUUAUGAAUUGGAUCACCUAACUGACUCAUAAGACAAAAAGAAAUCUCACAACGACUAAUAUCAACGUGAGAGCGAUAUUAGGAGAAGAUAUUACAUACUACAAUUUUGUUCCGUCGAAGAAGCAAAACAAGAAAAAAUUACCCAACACUUCUUCAAGAUGUCGAAAUUGCAAAAGACUUGAAUUAUAUAUGCACCACUAGAAAAAGUAGAAAUCAACAUCAACCAAACAUAGCCAUUCAUGUCUUAAAAUAAUGGGCACAUAAUCGAGACGAUAGUCGUUUAUUUAAAGCAUGACGAAGUUACAUGCACAUACAAACUAAUGAGCUCGAUCGAAUCCACAAGCUCUACACUAGCUACGCCCCUGACUGUGCUAACUUAUUUAGAGCUGAGCCAGCCAAGUGACUAAUAUCAAAAGGAUAGGCAUCAGUAGGUAGAAGAGCAGUGUAAGCUCUUUCAGCACACACAUUAUUGGGAAUUUCUGUUGGGUGAAAACCAUCCCAAAAAUAAUGUGAUGCUCUAUCACUGCAUGCACCCCCUCCAUUACUGCACUGUCCCUUAGCUAUGAAGCUUGAAAUUUCACAACAUGGCUCAGCUAGACUUGUCAAACCUACAACGUAACCAAAUUUAUGAAAAUACCAUUUUAAGUUACACUGUCUGUAUGUACGUACAGUUCAAUCUAAUGAUAACAAGUUACCAUUACAGAGAAGUAACGUUUGUUGUGUGACAUGUUUACGUACCAAUUGCAGAUGGAUCUCCAAUUGCAAUGCUUGUUUGAUUUAUGUAGAUGAAACUAGCGUCAGGCAAAUUACUGUUCAAAUCAUCGAUCAUUGGUUUGAACUUGUCUGCAAAUUUUUGAACUGCACUAUUUAUAGAGUCAACACAUAUUGAGUCCUUUGUCCCAUACAAUUCCAGUUCUGCUGGAAUACAGCCUAAGCUACCUACCCCAAAAACAGCAACUUUUCUUGCUCCAUAACGAUACAAACUCUAUUUUAUUACCAAAAAAAAAAAAAAAAAAAAAAAAAAAAAAAGAAUGGAACAUGUUAGUAAUUAUAAAUGUAUAAAAAUGUUGAAUAAGUGAGUAACUUAAUUUUUACCUUUAAUUGUUUUGAAUAUUGCUGAAUUAGGAGUUUAGCAUACUUUUCUGGUUUGUACAAAUGGCUUGAUGGGUAGAACUGAGGCAUCAAAUAGUUGUUGAUGUAGUCAUUGUUGCCCAUUCCAACAAUGUAUAUACAUUUGCUUAAAUACUCCUUAGUUAAGGUCUUAUUUCCAAGUAAAGUAGACAUGUGGGAAAUUGUCACUUUGUGAUUUCUCAAUUGUCUGUUCAAGCUGAUUCUAUCUCCCUGGAAAUCCACAAAAAGAUAAAAGAAAGAAAAAAGGUAAUAGUAUGAUAAAAUUAGUCCUUUAAUUAAUAUUUUUCUUGACAAGUACUUCUCAUGGGGUAGGAAAAUUAAAGAACAAUUUUAGAAGGGGUGAAAUUCGAUAUAUUAACUUAAUCUCACGUUCGAUUUGAGGUAUAACUAAAUCAGAACUAUUUUAUCUCAUCUGUACUAAGAUGAUGAUAUGGGGACGGAUAAAAUAAUCUCAAUGAAUAUCCAACUCAUGAAAUAUAUAUUCAUACUUAAUCUCAUCUAGUGUACCAAAUCACCCCUUAAACGUGUAUCUUAAUUACUUUGACAAAUUAAAUGUUUUGUUCAAGUGGUUUAGCUUUGCCUAGGUCACUAGCUAGCUAUAUGUUGCCAAACUACCUAUAUAACUACUAUAUUGUAGGGUGUUUGGCAACAUGGUGACGAAAAAUAAUUCUUUAUGAUUGUUACGUGUACUUGUUUAUUUAUGGACUUAACGAGAAAAUAUAGAGGUUUCAAUAAUUUUCAGGUUGAGGUCUAAAUCUCCAAGUUUAUAAAAUUGAGAACAAAUUCUUAAAUUACGUGGAACUUUUUCACAAGUUGAAAGUUUGGUAGAAGGUGCAUUUUUCAAUUUCUUCAAUUAUUUCCUCCACAAUUAAUCAAUCUUCAAUAUCACAGAUUUGUUUUAUUCUAAUAAAAUAAAAAUAAAAUACAAGUAAUCAAAACCCUACUACUUGCGCAAAUAAAUAAAUAAAUCCAACUUUUACUUCUUUUUUAUAACUUCAACUUCAAAUGUGCUUAGGAAAACAAGAAUGAAAUUUAGAAUAUUGUUAGACCACUUUGACAAAAAAAAAUAAAAAAAAUGCUUGGACUCGACAUGUGAAUCUUAUCUUAUUUUAUCAUCUACACUAUUAACCAGAGGUUUCAGGUGAGGCCUGCAAAGAAAUCCGUGGUAGGAAGUUGCACGCUUCCCUUAUAAUGUUCCUAUAUGUAGAGUGAUUCCGAUUUAAUAGGGUCAACAAGUUCCGGAUAUAAUAUCAAAUGUUCAUGACACGAAAGAGCUAGGAAAACAUAUAUAUUGUUCUUAAUGUAAAUGCAAAUAGUACUCCCUCUAUUUCGUAAUAUAUAUAUAUAUAAAUUCAAUCGUCAUUCUGAAUCGCUGGUUGUGUAGAGUUGAACAAUAUGUUGGAAGUAUUUUACCAAAUGUAUUCCAGACUCAUCACGAAUUCCAGCAGCACCAGAUGCAUAAUUUACUCCUCUAAACAUUUCCACACCCUUCACAGUAGCAAAUGGCUCAAUAUAUCUAUCGAAACCCAGUAUUUCAGCUGCAAAUAAAUAUAGGACAUCAUAUCAAUUCAGUAGGAUAUCUCCACCACAUUGUAACCAGACAACUUAUAAAUAUUGGGUUAAUUACUGAUACUAUGAAAAUAAUAUCAGUAUUUAUCGUGUGAUAUACUUUGAUCUUCAAUAAAAUUAACCGCCUUUUUCGUUUCAUAUUACGACAAAAUAUGUGCUACUAUACAGCUACGAGAGUUUCUCACAUUCGUAUUACCAUCUACUCCAUCAACAAUGUCUUUAUGCAGUGUUAACAAUGUAAUGGCUAAUAUUCAGAUUGAAUAAUGAUAUAAAAUCGUAUAUUUCUCAUGCAUACUAUAUGUGUGCAUGUAUAUCCAUAGUAGUUAGCUAGCUCAUUACUAAUUGAUAUGCACAUAAUUACUAUAGUUGGUAACAACUAUUUAUUAUUUUUUGUUAAAACCAUAAGAUAAUAGUAAACGAAACUGAGGAUUUUCAUGAAAGAAACAGUAGGUUAAGAUAAUCAAAUCAAAGAAAAUAAUAACAAAAGUAGAAGAAGUUAUGACCAAGGAAAUCUGCUGUAUUCUUGCCAUUGGUGAAUCUACCAGUAGGACCAUCAGGGAAGUCAAUUCCAUAAGGUGGAUAAUUAGCCUUUGCAGCAGUGAGGAGAUGAUUGUUAUUUCCAUU
rnacentral:lncRNA from 1 species